rnacentral:rRNA from 1 species
UCUUGCAAACUAAAGAUGGCGACCGGCGCACGGGUGAGUAACACGUAUCCAACCUGCCGAUAACUCGGGGAUAGCCUUUCGAAAGAAAGAUUAAUAUCCGAUAGUAUAUUAAAACCGCAUGGUUUUACUAUUAAAGAAUUUCGGUUAUCGAUGGGGAUGCGUUCCAUUAGUUUGUUGGCGGGGUAACGGCCCACCAAGACACGAUGGAUAGGGGUUCUGAGAGGAAGGUCCCCCACAUUGGAACUGAGACACGGUCCAA